rnacentral:lncRNA from 1 species
AUCAUCUCUAUGAGUAUGAUUUUUUGAUCUUUGACUCAUGUAUUUAGCUUGAUCCCAUGCUGCUUUCUUUCCUUCUGGGAAGACCUUCCUAACUCUCAGAAGGAGAAUGGUGUAGGGGGAAAAAGUCUGCAAAAAGUAAACGAUAAAUGUUUGUCAAACUGAAGAACCAAUAUGGAUAAAUCAGACUACAGAUACCCACGUACACAAAUAAGAAGACACAGCAAACAGAAAAUUAGAGGGCUAAGAAUUGAUCUAAAACAAAGCUUCUUGAACUGUGGCAUGGAACUGUAUAAAUGAAUGUGGACAUUGUGAAAAAUUUGACAUUAAAAGGUUUCUGAAUGCUCUAUAUCCUGCAGUAUCACAUAUUCUGCCAAGAUUUAAUUCUUUAUGUAAAAAAUAAACAAGCAAAU